rnacentral:misc_RNA from 1 species
AACGCACAUUGCGCCCGCCAGUAUUCUGGCGGGCAUGCAUGUCUGAGCGUCAUUUCAACCCUCAAGCAAACUUCUGCUUGGUGUUGGGGACCGGCCGUCAAACGCCGCCCCCUAAAUCUAUUGGCGAUCUCGCUGUAGCUUCCUAUGCGUAGUAGUAACAUCUCGCAUCUGGAGAGCGGCGCGGUCAUGCCGUAAAACAACCCAACUUUUCUCAGGUUGACCUCAGAUCAGGUAGGAAUACCCGCUGAACUUAA